rnacentral:lncRNA from 1 species
CAUUUAUUUUUUGUUUUUUAAUCAUGUUUAUUAAUUGUUUUUUUUUUGCCUUGAUUAAUUCUUAAUAAUUAUGUUAAUUAGGAUAUUAAUUAGGAUUAACUUUUUUAAAAUUUAAUUAGAAUUAGAAUUUUAAUCUAUUAGGGUUAAUUGUUUUAGUUAGAGAUAAUUAGAAUAAUUAAUUUUAAUUAGAUUUUAAUUCUAUAAUUAAUUCCCUAAUUGAUGUCCCAUGUAAU